GACGAACGCUGGCGGCGUGCCUAAUACAUGCAAGUUGAGCGCUGAAGGUUGGUACUUGUACCAACUGGAUGAGCAGCGAACGGGUGAGUAACGCGUGGGGAAUCUGCCUUUGAGCGGGGGACAACAUUUGGAAACGAAUGCUAAUACCGCAUAAAAACUUUAAACACAAGUUUUAAGUUUGAAAGAUGCAAUUGCAUCACUCAAAGAUGAUCCCGCGUUGUAUUAGCUAGUUGGUGAGGUAAAGGCUCACCAAGGCGAUGAUACAUAGCCGACCUGAGAGGGUGGUCGGCCACAUUGGGACUGGGGCACGGCCCAAACUCCUACGGGAGGCAGCAGUAGGGAAACUUCGGCAAUGGACGAAAGUCUGACCGAGCAACGCCGCGGGAGUGAAGAAGGUUUUCGGAUCGUAAAACUCUGUUGGUAGGGAAGAACGUUGGUGAGAGUGGAAAGCUCAUCAAGUGACGGUAACUACCCAGAAAGGGACGGCUAACUACGUG
rnacentral:rRNA from 1 species